rnacentral:rRNA from 1 species
AGUGAACGCUGGCGGUAGGCCUAACACAUGCAAGUCGAACGGCAGCACAGUAAGAGCUUGCUCUUACGGGUGGCGAGUGGCGUACGGGUGAGGAAUACAUCGGAAUCUACUUUUUCGUGGGGGAUAACGUAGGGAAACUUACGCUAAUACCGCAUACGACCUACGGGUGAAAGCAGGGGAUCUUCGGACCUUGCGCGAUUGAAUGAGCCGAUGUCGGAUUAGCUAGUUGGCGGGGUAAAGGCCCACCAAGGCGACGAUCCGUAGCUGGUCUGAGAGGAUGAUCAGCCACACUGGAACUGAGACACUGUCCAGACUCCUACGGGAGGCAGCAGUGGGGAAUAUUGGACAAUGGGCGCAAGCCUGAUCCAGCCAUACCGCGUGGGUGAAGAAGGCCUUCGGGUUGUAAAGCCCUUUUGUUGGGAAAGAAAAGCAGCAGGUUAAUACCCCGCUGUUCUGACGGUACCCAAAGAAUAAGCACCGGCUAACUUCGUG